CAUCGCAUACAUUGACUGUGCAAAGAGAUUACUCAAAGACUGUGGAGCCGAUUCCUAUGUUAGUCAAAUCGAACAAACACAGAAGUUAAUGAAUGAGCAAGGCUGUGGUUCAGCCGGGAAACUUUUCGUCUGCAGUCCUCUCCUUAUCCUACUUCUCUUUCUGUCCAAA